rnacentral:lncRNA from 1 species
UUUUUUUUUUUUGCCAGAGUGGGGGGAUCAGACACCCCCACUAGACUCAGAGUUCUCACUUUUCCUCUUUACCAGGGUCUGGUGCAAGUUUGUAAGUGUUUAACAAAUAUGGAAAGCAAGCAAUGCAAAAGUCAGGGUUCCAAGACAAGGUAGUUCAGCAUUGCUAGUUUCUUAAUAAGAUAAUAAGGAAGAUGAUGAUGAUGAUGAUGACCACCUGUGGUAAUGAUAAUGGUGAUGAUAAUAAUUACCAUUUAUUGAGCAUUGCACCUUUAAGGGCUUUACAAACAUUUUCUCAUUAGAUCAUCAGAACCACCACCUCAAGUGGCUACGUUAAACCAUGCUCCUCAGGCUCAGAGAUUUCAGGCAACUCAUCCACUCAUACAGCUAUAAGUGCCAGUCACAGGAUAUUCACUCCAAAGUCCAUGCUUUUAUCCAUCACGUGAACAGCCCCCAAGCCUUUCUACUUCUUCAUUUUCCUGAAUGAAGCCCCCUAUCCUGACAUGCCAUUCUUGACUCUGCCUUUGCUUGAACUCUAUUGGAGCAAGGAAAUAGGGCUAAACAUUUUCCCGUCUCACCUCUUUAUGCCAGGCCUGGCCCCUGAUAUACCAUGUGGCUUCAUGCCAGGCUGAGCACAGAAACAUCUUCUCAGAAUCACUUUGGGGCCUGAGAAAUAUGGUGGUACUGAAUCAUGGAGUUCAUAUCCAAAAGUUCAGAAGGAACAAAGCCUGAUUCCAACUUCAGAACUUCCAAGUCAAAUCCCCAAAAUAUCCAAUGCUUCCUUAAGACCCAGAAGCAACCUAGACCAUCAUUUGAGCAUACAGGCUUUAAAGCCAAAUCCACCUGGGUCAUAAUUCUGACUCUUUCAUAGUCUGGGUGACUUUUGGCAAAUUGCAUCAACUGGGGAACGUUUACCUCAGAAAAAUGAUGAGAGAAUGAAGUGAAUUAGCAUUGACUAUAGUAAACUAAUGGUAUCUUGCAUAUAGCAAUUAUGACAACAGUAGUAGCUAUAUUUAUUAUUAUCAAAAUCUCAUCUUUUCAGAUGACUGAAAGCUAAAAAUCUUCUGGAGGUCUUACAGGGAAAUGGGGGAAAUAUAAAGAACCCCAUUACUCCACACCUCUACUACCUAUUGUUCCCCAUACACACAUGUAUAUGUCUCCAUCUUUUGACAGGCACGCCUCCUUCUCCAGAAAGCCUUUGGACCCUCCUUCCCCCAGUGGUGUUAAGAGUUGCCUGAUUCACGAAAUAAAAAUAUGGAACACCCAGUGAAAUUUGAACUUCAGAUAAACAGCAAAUACCUUUUACAGUAUAAAUAUGUCCCAGGCAAUACUUUGAACAUACUUAUACUAAAAAAGCAUGUUUUGUUUAUCUGAAAUUCAAAUUUAACUAGGCAUUUUAUCCGCAGUCCUAGUUAUACAUUCCUCUGCAGUGUGUCGCAACUCUCCCGUGCAGUAUUUUUCUUUCUAUGUUAUAAUUGGCCUACAUCAGGAGCUGAUACCUGUCACAUCUGAGUUAAUGUGUAACUUUAAGAUCCUCUGAUAUUAAAGAAUUAAUGUUAAUUUUGUAAAGAAUAAUAUUAUUGAGAUGAAUUUUAAGAGCUCAUAUAUUUUAGGAUACAUACUGAAAUAUUUGGGGAAGGGAUGACAUAGUGUCUGGGAUUUGCUUCAAAAUAAUAAAGGUGCAGAGAAGUGGAUGAAGAUAGAAAUUAAACAAAAUUCUCCAUGAGUUGGUAAUUACUGAAGCUGAGUGUAAUUACUAAGUACCUGAAGUUCACCAUAGCCUUUUGAUUAUUUUGUAUUUUGAAAUUUUCCAUCAUACAUAUGUCUGCUGAGAGAAGUGGGCUCUGAGCAUGCACACACGCACAUACAUACAAGACAGGACAGUUAACUGAAUGAGCAUUGCACAUGAAUCAAGCAAUCCAUGGUUUGAUCAUAAUGAGUUCCUUAAAUAGCUCUGGAACAUUGAGCAAACCACUUUCUCUUUCUAGACCUUAGUUUCCUUAUCUGUUUAAAAUGGAAAAAUUGGAUUAAGUGAUUUCUGCUAAAAUCUCUGAACUUCAGAUAACCACACUGGAAUGCCCUUGACCUUUUCUAGGUUAAAUUUUCUGUGCAUUGCCUCAAGCCUCCCCUGCCCAUCAGCUGCAGAUCAAAACAGACUGCUCUUAGCAUCUGCCUCACACUUCAACAAAAAGGGGCCAUAAUGGGGUUCUGUGGAGAACUUUAGUGGAGAGUGACCCAAAGCCCUCCAUCACCAAGCAGCUGCUCUUUCCUUCUGCCACCUGCUGAAAGGUCACUUCAGUGUACAGCCUACCUCAAGAAGGCCUUCC